rnacentral:rRNA from 1 species
CCUACGGGAGGCAGCAGUGGGGAAUAUUGGGCAAUGGGCGCAAGCCUGACCCAGCAACGCCGCGUGAAGGAAGAAGGCUUUCGGGUUGUAAACUUCUUUUCUCAGGGACGAAGAAAGUGACGGUACCUGAGGAAUAAGCCACGGCUAACUACGUGCCAGCAGCCGCGGUAAUACGUAGGUGGCAAGCGUUAUUCGGAGUUAUUGGGUGUAAAGGGCGUGUAGGCGGGAGGGCAAGUCAGGUGUGAAAACUUAGGGCUCAACCCUGAGCCUGCAAUUGAAACUGUGUAACUUGAGUGCUGGAGAGGCAAGCGGAAUUCCGUGAGUAGCGGUGAAAUGCGUAGAUAUACGGAGGAACAUCAGUGGCGAAGGCGAAUUGCUGGACAGUAACUGACGCUGAGGCGCGAAAGCGUGGGGAGCAAACAGGAUUAGAUACCCUGGUAGUC